rnacentral:tRNA from 1 species
GGGCAUAUAGCUCAGCUGGAUAGAGCGUUGGCCUCCGAAGCCAAAGGCCACAAGUUCGAAUCUUGUUAUGCCCG